AGCGAACGCUGGCGGCAGGCCUAACACAUGCAAGUCGAACGGAUCCUUCGGGAUUAGUGGCGGACGGGUGAGUAACACGUGGGAACGUGCCUUUUGGUUCGGAACAACUCAGGGAAACUUGAGCUAAUACCGAAUGUGCCCUUCGGGGAAAGAUUUAUCGCCAUUAGAGCGGCCCGCGUCUGAUUAGCUUGUUGGUGAGGUAAAGGCUCACCAAGGCUACGAUCAGUAGCUGGUCUGAGAGGAUGAUCAGCCACAUUGGGACUGAGACACGGCCCAAACUCCUACGGGAGGCAGCAGUGGGGAAUCUUGCGCAAUGGGCGAAAGCCUGACGCAGCCAUGCCGCGUGAAUGAUGAAGGUCUUAGGAUUGUAAAAUUCUUUUCACCGGGGACGAUAAUGACGGUACCCGGAGAAGAAGCCCCGGCUAACUUCGUG
rnacentral:rRNA from 1 species